rnacentral:rRNA from 1 species
ACGAACGCUGGCGGCGUGGAUAAGACAUGCAAGUCGAACGAGAGAAUUGCUAGCUUGCUAAUAAUUCUCUAGUGGCGCACGGGUGAGUAACACGUGAGUAACCUGCCCCCGAGAGCGGGAUAGCCCUGGGAAACUGGGAUUAAUACCGCAUAGUAUCGAAAGAUUAAAGCAGCAAUGCGCUUGGGGAUGGGCUCGCGGCCUAUUAGUUAGUUGGUGAGGUAACGGCUCACCAAGGCGAUGACGGGUAGCCGGUCUGAGAGGAUGUCCGGCCACACUGGAACUGAGACACGGUCCAGACACCUACGGGUGGCAGCAGUCGAGAAUCAUUCACAAUGGGGGAAACCCUGAUGGUGCGACGCCGCGUGGGGGAAUGAAGGUCUUCGGAUUGUAAACCCCUGUCAUGUGGGAGCAAAUUAAAAAGAUAGUACCACAAGAGGAAGAGACGGCUAACUCUGUGCCAGCAGCCGCGGUAAUACAGAGGUCUCAAGCGUUGUUCGGAAUCACUGGGCGUAAAGCGUGCGUAGGCUGUUUCGUAAGUCGUGUGUGAAAGGCGCGGGCUCAACCCGCGGACGGCACAUGAUACUGCGAGACUAGAGUAAUGGAGGGGGAACCGGAAUUCUCGGUGUAGCAGUGAAAUGCGUAGAUAUCGAGAGGAACACUCGUGGCGAAGGCGGGUUCCUGGACAUUAACUGACGCUGAGGCACGAAGGCCAGGGGAGCGAAAGGGAUUAGAUACCCCUGUAGUCCUGGCAGUAAACGGUGCACGCUUGGUGUGCGGGGAAUCGACCCCCUGCGUGCCGGAGCUAACGCGUUAAGCGUGCCGCCUGGGGAGUACGGUCGCAAGAUUAAAACUCAAAGAAAUUGACGGGGACCCGCACAAGCGGUGGAGUAUGUGGCUUAAUUCGAUGCAACGCGAAGAACCUUACCUGGGCUCGACAUGUAAUGAACAACAUGUGAAAGCAUGCGACUCUUCGGAGGCGUUACACAGGUGCUGCAUGGCCGUCGUCAGCUCGUGUCGUGAGAUGUUUGGUUAAGUCCAGCAACGAGCGCAACCCCUGUUGCCAGUUACCAGCACGUGAAGGUGGGGACUCUGGCGAGACUGCCCAGAUCAACUGGGAGGAGGGUGGGGACGACGUCAGGUCAGUAUGGCCCUUAUGCCCAGGGCUGCACACGUACUACAAUGCCCAGUACAGAGGGGGCCGAAGCCGCGAGGCGGAGGAAAUCCUGAAAACUGGGCCCAGUUCGGACUGUAGGCUGCAACCCGCCUACACGAAGCCGGAAUCGCUAGUAAUGGCGCAUCAGCUACGGCGCCGUGAAUACGUUCCCGGGUCUUGUACACACCGCCCGUCACAUCAUGGAAGCCGGUCGCACCCGAAGUAUCUGAAGCCAACCGCAAGGAGGCAGGGUCCUAAGGUGAGACUGGUAACUGGGAUG